UUACGUUAUUAUUAUUAUUAUUAUCAUCAUCAUUAUCAUCGUAUGAUCCCCUAACAAAGACAAAAAUCUAUUCGCCGUAAGUGGGAAUAGAUUUGCAUCGACAUAAAGUAGGGGGUACAAGUCAAAAUAUUCGACAUCUCGUUGCACGUGAUCAGUUUGAACCAAACGAAAUAUUCCUGGUAGUUUUCUCUCUCUUUCUCUCUCUCUCUCACUAUCUCUCUAUUUCUAUUUCUCUAUUUUUAUUUCUCUAAUUUUAUCUCUCUAUUUCUAUCUCUAUGUCUAUCUCUUUCUAUCUCUCCAUCCCUUUGUAACACGCGGUAUACGUACUUAUUUAUUUAUUUCAUAAGUUAAGAUUAUCAUUAUUAUUACCACGAUGUUGAGUUGAUAAGUUCCGCGGCGAUGAUCUUAUUUCGGAUUCAUUUAUAGACGAUCUUAUAUUUCUUUCUCUUAUAGAAGGUUCCAUCAUUCUAGUCCACGAUUCCGGAUAAUAUGAUUGUACUUGAAUGAAAAAAAAAGAAAAAGAAAAAAAUAGAUGUAUCAAAUAAAAAUAAUAAUAAUGUGUAUGUACUUAUAUAAAUUUUUUUUUAAAGGAAUUAUUAUUAUUACCAUCAGGUAGGUUUGGUAAGAGCCUUCGUGCUGGUUUUACUUCGAUUUCACUUUCGGUCCUUCUAAUUCCUCUAUUCCUAGCAGGAGAUUCUCUUAUUCUAAUCCACGAAUCCGGAUAGUACGGUUGUACUUGAAAUAGAAAGGAAAAGAAAAGAAAAAAAGAAUGAAAUAAAAAAAAGUAUCAAAAUAAUAAUUAAAAAAAAAAUUAGGAUAAAAUAAAAUAAAAUACAAUAAAAUAAAAUAAAAAGAGAAGAAAUUAGAACAAACGUGAAGGGAAGUAAUUUGUAUAAGAGAAACGCAUUAGUUAAGGUGGGCUCACUAAUUUUCUUGCUGAUGAAGGUCCUGGUCUUACUUCUAUAUCACUAUCGAUUGUUCUCGCAGGAGAAUCUGUUUCAUAUCAAAAAAGUAAAUAUAAAAAUAAAGCAAGGAAGAAAAAGAAAAAAAAAAAACACACACACACACACACACAGAGACGUGAAAUAGAAAAAAACGUGAAAAUCAAUUAGUAUAAAAGGGGGUUAUAUGUGUAUGUAUACACGCUGUGGUACCGGGUGAUACGAUUGUACUUGAUAGUGGAAAAAAAAAGAAAAAAAAAAAAAAAAAAAAAAGGAAAAACCGAAAAAAAAAAAAAAAAGAAAUAGAAACAAACGUGAAAGAACAAUCGAUAUAAGAGAAACGCAUGAGUUUAUGUAUGUGGGCUUGAUAAGGACCUUCUUGAUUCUUUUUUUUCCCUUAUAAGAGAUUCUUUUAUCCUAAGCCAUGAUUCAGGGUAAUACGGUUGUACUUAAUAAAAAAAAAAAGAAAAAAAAAAAAAAGAGAAGUAUAGAACCAAAGGUGACAGAACCGUUUGAUAAACAUGUUUACAAUAUGGGCCGAAUCCAUAGGAAUUGCUUCUAUCGAUCCAUCGGGUGCUCUUAUUGUAAGCCAUGCUUCGGAAACGCAUGAAUCUAUUUAAAAAGAAAAAUAAAUAAAUAAAUAAAUACGCAUAUAUAUAUAUAUAUAUAUAUA